rnacentral:rRNA from 1 species
GGUACCCACAGAAGAAGUCCCGGCAAACUCCGUGCCAGCAGCCGCGGUAAUACGGAGGGGGCAAGCGUUGUUCGGAAUUAUUGGGCGUAAAGGGCAUGUAGGCGGUUUGGUAAGUUAAAGGUGAAAUACCAGGGCUUAACCCUGGGGCUGCUUUUAAUACUGCAGGACUAGAGUCCGGAAGAGGAUAGCGGAAUUCCUAGUGUAGAGGUGAAAUUCGUAGAUAUUAGGAGGAACACCAGUGGCGAAGGCGGCUGUCUGGUCCGGUACUGACGCUGAGGUGCGAAAGCGUGGGGAGCAAACAUGAUUAGAUACCCUGGUAGUCCACGCUGUAAACGAUGAGUGCU